rnacentral:rRNA from 1 species
UAGUUUUUUAAUUGAAAGCUGGAAUGAAUGGUUGAAUAAGGAAGUGACUGUCUCUUUUUAAUUAAGUUGAAUUUUAUUUUUAAGUCAAAAAGCUUAAAUUUUAUAGAAAGACGAGAAGACCCUAUAGAGUUUAAUAUACUUAAGUUUUUAUGGUUGAGGGUUAAAUUUUGUAAAAUCUUAAUUUUAUUUUGUUGGGGUGAUACUAGAAUUUAAUUAACUUCUUUUUGUAAAGUCAUUGAUUUAUGAAUGAAUGAUCCUAAUUUUUGGAUUGAAAGAAUAAAUUACCUUAGGGAUAACAGCGUAAUUUUUUUGGAGAGUUCUUAUCGAUAAGAAAGAUUGCGACCUCGAUGUUGGAUUAAAGUUGAUUACCGGUGAAGAAGUUGGUAUAUUAA